rnacentral:lncRNA from 1 species
CUACUCACUGGGCUAUCGUAGCUCAUCCCUCUCCCCUAACUUCAGUUGUGCAGGUUCAGAGAUCAGAGAGAACUCAGCAGGGUACAGGAAGAGUACAGAGUGGUGUAAUAGCUAGUGUGGACAUGUAAAUGUAAAGAGAUAAGGUUUAUGUAUAGUGUAUAGCAUGGUGCUUGACUAUAAGAAAUGUAAUCCCUUUGUGGAGUC